GUGAUUAAAUCGAGCGUGUCUUCAUUGACCGCUCACCCUUCUCACCAUCCACAUACACCUGCUGCACUGUUUAGCCUGAGCCGGUUUUCCGGUCCAGGUUAUCAUUUCAUACAAACUCUAGUCUUAUGAAUGUAAACGUUUUAAUAACAUAAUA
rnacentral:misc_RNA from 1 species